AGUUCGUCAUUGAAAGGAAAAGAAGUUGGAAUGAAGUUUCUGUGAUCCGUCGAUAUGUUUUCGUCUUUAAUAAUAUAAAUUUCUAUAACGGAUAACCUUGAUGUCAUUGUUAACAAGAGCCAAUCGACUGGGCAGAGGAACAGAAGUGGAAAUUCUUCGAUGCUGGUUUUACAUUUCCGUAAGUGGCCAACAGGGAAUUCCACUUCUCUGAUCAACUUUUCGAUUCGACUUCCGGUUCCACCCUUCACAGUCGCUCUUCUUGCGUUUCGAAGGAUUCAGCCGACACGACAUUCCAGUGAUUGGGAACGAAUACCACCA